CCAAACCUGUGGCUGUUCUCAUGUUUGUUUUCCAAAAGCGACCUCCAAACAUCAUUACCCUAAGUGAGUUUAAAGUCGAGCUUUAGAGCCAAACUGUUAGCAGUGUCAACAACUGUUCAAGUGAAGCUGCUAUUAAUGCAUCAACCCAGCUAGAUAUUGGUAGUGGGGGGUGUGCCCGCACACUCCGCCUCUCAAAGGUCAUACAAGGUAUGCUAAUGGGACUGCUGAUGACAUCACCGGGACAAUAUAAAAGACAGGCAAUGAGGUUUGGCUGCAAAACCGCUCUUGAGCUGAAAUCAGCAGGAAAACCAGCAGCUGCAAAACACUAGAUUUCGACUGUCUCCACGUCUUCCCUGUGGUCCUGGGAUAGAAGAGGACACUGCACUGGAAAAUAUGCUGUUCUGCCAUUCCCAGCCUGAAUCCUACCACCAGCACUCUGCUAGUUACAUUAGGGAUUCGAUAAAAGAGAAGAGGACAGUCACCUUUGUCAUCCCAGCACUCAGCCCUUCUUCUUUCCUUCUGGGUCUCUUUCAGAGAGGCCUUGGCACCUUUCUUGAAAAACGAAGAAGCCAGGCUUAUGGCCGAAAUUGGUGCCAGGAGGACCCCGUUCCAGUAUAUUCUGUGUGCAGCCACCUCGCCGGCUGUGAAACAGCAGGACGAGAGUCUCACUUAUCUCAACCAAGGUCAGUCCUACGAAAUCCGUAUGCUUAACAGAAAACUAGUGGAGUAUACAGAUAUAAGCAGCAAAUAUGUAAAGAGCAUUGUGCGCGUGGUGUUUCAUGAUCGUCGACUGCAGUAUAUGGAGCACCAGCAGCUGGAGGGAUGGAGGUGGAACAGACCUGGAGACCGAAUCCUGGAUAUUGAUAUCCCGUUGUCAGUGGGAAUAUUGGAGCCCCGUUCUCAUCCUCUGCACCUCAACACCAUUGAGUUCCUCUGGGAUCCUGUCAAAAAUGCAUCUGUUUUCAUCCAGGUCAACUGCAUCAGCACUGAGUUUACCCUGAAGAAGCAUGGAGGAGAGAAAGGAGUGCCAUUUCGUAUCCUGGUGGACACUUUCACCACCAAUGAACAUGGGGAAUACAUGGAGCAUGUGCAUUCCUCCAGCUGCCAGGUCAAAGUCUUCAAACCUAAAGGGGCAGAUCGCAAACUGAAGACAGACAGGGAAAAGAUUGAUAAAAAGGCCCUUCAAGACAGAGAGAAGUAUCAACCGUCCCAUGACACCACCCUGCUAAAAGAGUGUUCCCCUUGGCCUGAUGCCCUCAAUCUCACCAUCCACAGCAGCAGCAGCAGUAGCAACACUCCGUCAUCAGUUUACCACAGUUCACCAACUUCCUGUAAUUUCACAGAUGGCAACUGUUCUCCAAACCAGCAAGGGGAUCUGCCCAUGCCCAGCUGCUCUGAUCACCUUCUGCCAUUGUCCACGCCGCAGGACACUCAGCAGUGGCUGCACCGUCACAGGUUCUCACCUUUCUCAAGGCUCUUCUCCAGCUUCUCAGGUGCUGAUCUGUUAAGGAUGAGCAGGGAGGAUCUGAUCCAGGUCUGCGGCCCAGCAGACGGUAUUCGUCUCUUUAACACCAUGAAAGGAAGGUGUAUUCAGCCCCGUCUUACCAUCUAUGUGUGUCAGCAGCAGGCCAGACAUCAACCUCCCAUCAAGCCAGGGGGUGGAGACAUAUACCACGCUCUGUACCUGGAGGAGCUGACGCUGUUGGACCUGUCUGAAAAGAUCGCUCUGUUGUACAGCAUCACUCCACAGCAAAUUACACACAUCUACAGACAAAAAUCCAACGGGAUCCAUGUCUUAGUCUCUGAUGAGGUAUCCUUACAUCCGGCCUGGUAUCACCAAAUUGCGUAUGAACAUUUUGUAACCAUGCACCCAGAUCAGGUACAUCUGCCAGGCUACACAUACUAGUUGUCCACCGGAACAAUAAACAAAAAUCUUCUCACUAUAUAUUUCUAGGCUGGCAAAAACUGAUAUUAACACCAGUGAAAUGACGAUGAGCUACAGGUGGAUUUUCAUAUGCAGCAUCUUGGAAAUGUACACAUCGGUCGAUUUGUUUGUUUCAGAUGGUGCAGAACUUCAGAGAGGAAACAAGUUUCAUCCUCAGCACUAUACGGGAUGAAAACACAGACGGAUACCACGUUGUGUUGAAAUGACCGACAUACUCUGGAGGUUCAAAGUUUCACGAGUGGAAUUGUACAGAUUUUAUAUAAAUCCUUCUAGACAUGUGACAUUUACUUUUACAUUUAGAUUUACAGUCGAGUAUAAUGCUGUUAAGCUUUCAAUUGUUGACUUUGAGGUUUUGUUUAGUUUUCUUUAAUUUUCCUAUUUUCCUAUUUUAUUUGAACUUUUGUUUAGUUACUGAUUCAUGUUUGAUAUGCCUUGUAAUUAGUGGUAAACAGUGGCCUGCAAGUUAAUGACUUUCAUGAUAAUAAAGCAAAGUAAAUGCCACACAUCAUCAUAUUGACAGAGAGUAAAGACAAAUGAACAAAACUUUACGUUAAUGCAAUGUAAUUGUUAUGCUUGUCCUGAAUAUGAAAUGCUAUGAUGUAGCCUGUCUUGCAUAUGCCAUACAGCCUAUUUCCUUGAUGACGUGUAAUGUUAAAUUUGGUAAAGUUGAGGUAUUUAUGCACAUAGACCUAUGGCAUGUUUAAACAGAGACAUUGUGUUGCAGUUCUGAGGAUGAUUUUGACUGUCUGGGCUCUAUAAGGAGUCUAUUAUGUUCCAAAUAAAGUAU